GCCAAAAAAAAAAGGUAAUUGCCAAUAAUGUAAUAUUUCCUUUUAUCGGUGCCAAUACUAUAUGGACUGAUGUAUUAGCGCACCUCUAUUAACACUGGAAUCAA